CAUCAGGUAAGCAGCACUGGGCUGUAUUGACGUAUCCUAAAAAUGCUAUCUGCUGAUUUAGAUUGAACGGUCAUAUCUCAGUUAUUGUUUUCAUAUCGAUAAAAAAUAAGCUGUUUUCUUUAAUUUCAGAGUGUGAGCUGAUCAAGGGGUUGAAAAGAUAGAUAUUGCCAGAUGUUCACUGUCCAAGGAACAGGCCGUGGAAGCUUUAUUGCUAGCAAAAAUGUCCAUAACCAGAGGUUAUAUCAGCUGUUUUGGUGAACCCCUCCCACAUCUGAACUGACUGACACAGAGGGCACAGCAUGAUCAUAGGUACGUUUAGAUGUGAGAGCCAGUCCCGUCAUCGCCACCUCACCUGCUCUUAAGAUAUCUUUCGGGCCAACUGGGGGCCCGAGGCUGGUCAGGACAAUUGUGAUGAACUGAGAGAAUGUUAGGGCAUCACUGUAAUUCAUGAGUCAUAUGCUGUCUACCGCUGUUCUUACCUCUUUCCCUUUCUGUCUUCUAUACCUCUCGCCACACCUCAUCUUUCUUCCUCGUUUUAUAAUGCACACCACAUGUGCAUUGAAGUACAGAUUGAACUUGUAUUUAUAAUAUAGUAUUACAAUUAUCAUAAUUAUUAUGCAUUUAUGUAACUUUUUUCAAUAAAGCAUUUCACAUUCA